rnacentral:rRNA from 1 species
UGGAGAUUUAACUCCCAAACCCAAUGUGAACCAUACCAAACUGUUGCCUCGGCGGGGUCACGCCCCGGGUGCGUCGCAGCCCCGGAACCAGGCGCCCGCCGGAGGGACCAACCAAACUCUUUUCUGUAGUCCCCUCGCGGACGUUAUUUCUUACAGCUCUGAGCAAAAAUUCAAAAUGAAUCAAAACUUUCAACAACGGAUCUCUUGGUUCUGGCAUCGAUGAAGAACGCAGCGAAAUGCGAUAAGUAAUGUGAAUUGCAGAAUUCAGUGAAUCAUCGAAUCUUUGAACGCACAUUGCGCCCGCCAGUAUUCUGGCGGGCAUGCCUGUCCGAGCGUCAUUUCAACCCUCGAACCCCUCCGGGGGGUCGGCGUUGGGGACCUCGGGAGCCCCUAAGACGGGAUCCCGGCCCCGAAAUACAGUGGCGGUCUCGCCGCAGCCUCUCCUGCGCAGUAGUUUGCACAACUCGCACCGGGAGCGCGGCGCGUCCACGUCCGUAAAACACCCAACUUCUGAAAUGUUGACCUCGGAUCAGGUAGGAAUACCCGCUGAACUUAAGCAUAUCAAAAACCCGGAGGAA